rnacentral:piRNA from 1 species
GCACAGACAAGGACAAAGGCCUCAAUCCAC